rnacentral:lncRNA from 1 species
AUAAUUUUUCAGCCACCAAAAUAUGCUAUUGAUUUAAAAAAUAAAGAAGCAAAAACUCAUAAUCUCUUAUUAUAUAAGAGGCAGUUGGUAGCUAAGCAAGCACCGCUCCAUCAACGCGUCUGCUUCAGCAAGGAGGGGUAUUUUCGUCUUUUCAUUAGGGACUUCUUUGUACCUGAACAUAUGCUUCAUCUUGACCGCAUAGACGACCAACGCCUGCUUCUUCGGCUGUUCUUCCCAACUUUUUGAAAAAAUUCGUCCGAACACAUUUCUGAGUGUAAUUUUCCAUUCAUAAGCUCAAACAUUGAUCACAAGUACAGCUAGCAGGUAGAUCACAAGAUUAUUUAUACGAGGAUUGGUAUUUGCUUCCUCAUGCCUCUGCUCAGUCUCAACUUUGAUUGUGGUUCUUUCUAUAGGUUUGGUACUUUGGUGGUUAGAUAGUGGAUGAUUCUGUAUUUUCCUUAUCUGUGCUCGCGUUAUUGUUCGUGCUUUUGUAUUUGUAUUCUUCUUUAAUUUUGCCCUAUAGGUGUUUGACAAAAUUCCUAUUUCUCCUUUGGCCUGUAGAUGCUUUUGUUGAGUUCUUAAAUUAGAUGAAAGAUUCAACAAGGGAGAGUAGAGUAAUUACGGGCAAAGAAAAUAACAACACAGCACCAUAUCAGCUGAUCUUAGAGAAAAGAAUGAGAAAGGUAUAAGGAAUAUAUUACAGAUUCUAAAGAGCUAUGAGUGCUAUAUGUUGAACAACUAUUUGUAAGAUUCUUGCUUCAGUAUAAGUUAUGCAAGACCUUUAAUUAAGUCAUUCAAUGAAACUUCCUUUUGUUUUGAUUUUCAUAAGAAUACAUGGAAGGGAUAGUAAUUUGAAAUUGUUUGUUUCCAAUAUAGCUGGACAACACCAGAAAAGAGGUGCCAUAGGGCUAUUGACCUCAAAUCUCACUGUUAAGUUGUUAAGUUGUAGGCUUACUUCCGCCGUUCCACAAUAAGUUAAUUGUUGUAUUUUGACAUACAUAUUAAGAAAAAAAAGGAAAAGACAUAAAUUUAUCAUGUUUUUUUUUCAUUUUUACCCUCUUCAAAAAGCAAAGAUACGUGAUACAUCACUCUCAAUGCACAUUUAAUGAAGGGUAAAUUUGAAAAAAAAUUCAACAUUUACCCUGAAUUGUGAACCGUUUAUUUAUUUUGAAACACUAAAAUUGCUCUAACAAUUCAUCUAUUGUGAAACGAAGAGAUUACCAUUUAGCAAUUUAGAACGGCGUUGUUUACUAUAUUUGUGAUUUUUAGAGGAUUAAGGGCAUGCAAAACUAUGUCAGUCAAAGAUCCGGUAUCAUGUCCCUUUAUGAACAUAAUUUUGUUAAUUGCUAGGAUGACAAGCAUGACAUUUUAAAGUUAGAGCUUGUUCAUUCAUCGAAUAAUGUGUGUUCAAAUACACAGUUAAGUGGAUUAAGAUAUUGUAGAAAAGCUCAUCUUCCACGUGAAAAGACAAUGUCCUGCCUACUCGACAAAAUGUACCAGAAAGCUCCAACAAUAAAAGUGAUUUUUUUUGUUUCUAUACACACCAGUGAGGAGGGAUAGGAGUGGAUCCUCCAGGAUUUUAUUGAACAGAGUGACUUGUCUGGCAGUGGUGAAUUCAGCUACAUCGAAAAGAGAAUCUCUAAGAGUCUGUGCAUAAUGUGAGAGCUUUAGUGCAUCAUACUGUUCUUUUUAUUGCCUAUUUUACUGAUUUAAAUACCAAAUAAUAAAGAAGUUGGACACAAAAAUGUCAUGUAUUUGACCAUAAAUAAGAAAAAAAAUACAAUGAACAAAGACUGAGAACUGUAUAAAGCCUCCAAGGCCUUUACAAGUAAUAACAAAUAGAAAAAGGUUCCUUUACUGAUUCGGUGUUAUCAAUUCCCAUGCGAUGCACUCACAUGAUUAUGUAUUAGUUGCUUCCCUAUUGUUAUAUAUUCACCAUAUCUUCGGCGAAGUCAUAGUUCAACAGAUCUGUAUCUACUUUUACAACUCAAUUAGCUUGACUUUGGAGUGAACAACCAAGGAAACAAAAUAAUGUUAUUGUGGACCAAGGAAACAAAAUAGCGGUAUAGUUGAGCCAAACGGAAAACAAAUUAGUACUGCAGCUCGAAAGUAUGUAGGUAUUUCAAUUUUCACUUACAUGUUUUGGUGUAAAAUAGAGAUAAUAUGUCAGAAUCCAUAUUCUUCCCACAGGAUCAUAUUUUCACCCUACCAAUCUACAAAUCUUUUGAUCAUCAUAAUUUUUCCAAUAUUAAUUAGUUUAGAUUUUGGAGUCAUCGCUUAGAGUGUCAAAUUUUUUACUUUUGUUUACUGCAGGUAAUACAUAUCAUUAAGACGUUAAAGUUGGAUAAUAAUUUACCUCUCUUUCAUACUAGAAUAGAUUACUUUAGUGUAAAUAUCAUGUAUUGAGUAAAAAUUUUCGUUUGUAGCAUGUAUUUUUUCAUCUCAAUAAUUUGCACAUGCCUAAAUUGUUUGCUCCCUUUUCUGUUUCUCAGAUUUCACGAAUCAUGAGGCAUGCUGAUUACGAUGUCUGCUAGACAAAUAAAUUAUUCAUUUUUACCUUUCAACUGUUGCGACAAAGAAUGUAUUCACCUCCCAAUUAUUCGCAAACUACCAUCAAGCAUUAUUCGAACAUUUUCGCUUUUGUUACGUUAUUCUUCUAUGUAUAGCUUAUUGCGUCGGGCCAAAGGGUUAACUCAUCCUUUUGAGUACAAGCAUUUCUACAACAUAAAGUGGAUGGUCAAUGUCCAAUAACAGAGACGUUGUUUGAAAGGCCUAUGAUUGUAAACAGAUCUUAUGCAUUUGAUUAACUGUAUAUUGAAGUUUCAGUGCCAUAUUGGGCAACUUGCCACUAGUAUGCUAUUAAAUAGGAGAAGUCUCAACCAAUUGAUUUUCAAUUCAUA